GGGCAUACUUGUAGACCUUGCCUGACUGUGCUCAUGGCCAGGCAGGGGGGACAGUGUAUGCAAGAAUAAUUUGGAGUUCCUGCCAGCUCUAACCAGCUUCAUCAGUGGCUGGAUAAAUUGCAGGACUCUAAACAUUU
ensembl:snoRNA SNORA58 small nucleolar RNA, H/ACA box 58